AAUUUACCCACUUGAUUUAACAAGGGAAGCAUGGCACCAAAAGUCAGAUGGCUUCUCUGCCUUUUACCCCUUUCUAACUAAGCAGUUUGUCUAUUUUUGAUCUUAUACAGGUUCUUUCCCAUGAAAAAUCUUCAAUCGCUACCACUAUGAAAAAUGCAAUUGAUAAAUGCCUUCAGAUAGGUUAGGGAACGUAGAGGUGUUUUUAAUUUCAUGGUUUUUAUUUGGAAACACCCUCUGAAGAUAUUCUGACCUGAUCCAUUGACACAGAGUUGGUUAAUGAGGUGGGGUUUUUUGUUUUUGUGUAUGUGUGAAAUUAAUACCUGGAAAGAAGUAACUUGUCAGUACAUAAAGAUCUCUGCAGUAUUUUGACAGGCAUUUAGCAAUUUAUUAAUUAAAGCAUUAUUUAGCAAGGUUGCUAAAUUAUUAAAUUUAAAGCAUUAUUUAGCAAGGUUGGAGAUUAUUAUGUAGUGCAAGAUUUUCCUCUUUUUAGAUUAGUUAGGCCGUUUUGAAUCACUAGAGAAUAGUAUGGUGCUAGUAUGAUAAAGUAUAAGUUAACAUGGUGUCUCCUAAAGAUUAACUGAUUUGCCAUAUUUUUCAUCCAUGUACACCAUGGAAUUUUGCUUUCUGGGAUUAUUAUAUAGAUAGAAAUAAUAAAUUGUGUGUGGCUUACCUAAAGGGAACGUUUUGCAGUGCUCCAGCAUAGUUUCUAUUACUUGGCAGAGAAUGUAGGAAAGCAAGAUACAGAUACCUAAAUCAGAAUUUCUUCAUGAUGAUGACCCAGUUCUUAUAAGAAUUAUCUUAAGUUAUCAGAGCCCCACAGGUUUCUUAGCUAUACUAACGUAGUGUGAAAUUAGAUCUGGGAGAAAUACUAAAUCACUUUCACAUCUUUUUACAAAGUGUCAGUUUCUCAAAAUAUGAACUUAUUUGUCUUUAUUUAUUACUUAUCUUCUUAGAUGUACACCAAGAACAGAACUAGAGUUUUGGGAUCUGUACUAUAUUAAUUACAUGACCUGGCAGUAUUUUCUUUUAUACAUGUUUUAAUAUGGAAAAUCAACACAGGAAUCUGUUAAUACCACAUUUCUUCAAUCUUUAACUCUCAGCCUUAGUAUUUAUUUUGCAUCACUAAUUGAUUUUUUUUCAAUCCAAAAAGAAAAGUAAAAUAAGAGUCCUAAUUAUAGCAACGUUUCCUUUCCUCUCCCUCACGUUCUCUCUCUCCUUCCUCUUGUCCUUGUUUAUGUCUC
rnacentral:lncRNA from 1 species